CACGCAGGUGGCUUGGCUAGUCGGAUGUGAAAGCCCCGGGCUUAACUUGGGAAUUGCAUUCGAUACUGCCGAGCUAGAGUAUGGGAGAGGAAAGCGGAAUUCCCGGUGUAGCGGUGAAAUGCGUAGAUAUCGGGAGGAACAUCAGUGGCGAAGGCGGCUUUCUGGCCCAAUACUGACACUCAUGUGCGAAAGCGUGGGGAGCAAACA
rnacentral:rRNA from 1 species